rnacentral:rRNA from 1 species
CCUACGGGCGACAGCAGUGAGGAAUAUUGGUCAAUGGGCGCGAGCCUGAACCAGCCAAGUCGCGUGAAGGAUGACUGACCUAUGGGUUGUAAACUUCUUUUAUAUGGGAAUAAAGUGAGGCACGUGUGCCUUUUUGUAUGUACUUUAUGAAUAAGGAUCGGCUAACUCCGUGCCAGCAGCCGCGGUAAUACGGAGGAUGCGAGCGUUAUCCGGAUUUAUUGGGUUUAAAGGGAGCGUAGAUGGGUUGUUAAGUCAGUGGUGAAAGUUUGCGGCUCAACCGUAAAAUUGCAAUUGAAACUGGCUGACUUGAGUACAGUUGAGGUAGGCGGAAUGCGUGGUGUAGCGGUGAAAUGCUUAGAUAUCACGAAGAACUCCGAUUGCGAAGGCAGCUUACUAAACUGCCACUGACACUGAUGCACGAAAGUGUGGGUAUCAAACAGGAUUAGAUACCCCAGUAGUC